rnacentral:tRNA from 1 species
GCCGGCGUAGUUUAAUGGUAGAACAUCAGCUUCCCAAGCUGAGAGCGCGAGUUCGAUUCUCGUCGCCGGCUCCA